rnacentral:rRNA from 1 species
CGAACGCUGGCGGCGUGCUUAACACAUGCAAGUCGAACGGAAAGGCCCUGCUUUUGUGGGGUGCUCGAGUGGCGAACGGGUGAGUAACACGUGAGUAACCUGCCCUUGACUUUGGGAUAACUUCAGGAAACUGGGGCUAAUACCGGAUAGGAGCUCCUGCUGCAUGGUGGGGGUUGGAAAGUUUCGGCGGUUGGGGAUGGACUCGCGGCUUAUCAGCUUGUUGGUGGGGUAGUGGCUUACCAGGGCUUUGACGGGUAGCCGGCCUGAGAGGGUGACCGGCCACAUUGGGACUGAGAUACGGCCCAGACUCCUACGGGAGGCAGCAGUGGGGAAUAUUGCACAAUGGGCGGAAGCCUGAUGCAGCAACGCCGCGUGCGGGAUGACGGCCUUCGGGUUGUAAACCGCUUUCGCCUGUGACGAAGCGUGAGUGACGGUAAUGGGUAAAGAAGCACCGGCUAACUACGUG